rnacentral:rRNA from 1 species
GACGAACGCUGGCGGCGUGCCUAACACAUGCAAGUCGAGCGAAUGAAGUUCCUUCGGGAAUGGAUUUAGCGGCGGACGGGUGAGUAACACGUGGGCAACCUGCCUCAUAGAGGGGAAUAGCCUUCCGAAAGGGAGAGUAAUACCGCAUAAGAUUGUAGUACCGCAUGGUACAGCAAUUAAAGGAGCAAUCCGCUAUGAGAUGGGGACGCGGCGCAUCAGCUAGUUGGUGAGGUAACGGCUCACCAAGGCGACGAUGCGUAGCCGACCUGAGAGGGUGAUCGGCCACAUUGGGACGGAGACACGGCCCAGACUCCUACGGGAGGCAGCAGUGGGGAAUAUUGCACAAUGGGGGAAACCCUGAUGCAGCAACGCCGCGUGAGUGAUGACGGCCUUCGGGUUGUAAAGCUCUGUCUUCAGGGACGAUAAUGACGGUACCUGAGGAGGAAGCCACGGCUAACUACGUGCCAGCCGCCGCAGUAA